GAUGAACGCUGGCGGCGUGCUUAACACAUGCAAGUCGAACGAUCCUUCGGGAUAGUGGCGGACGGGUGAGUAACGCGUGGGAAUCUGCCCUCAGGAGGGGGAUAACGGCUGGAAACGGCCGCUAAUACCCCAUAUGCCGAGAGGUGAAAUGAAUUUCGCCUGAGGAUGAGCCCGCGUCUGAUUAGCUAGUUGGUGGGGUAAAGGCCUACCAAGGCGACGAUCAGUAGCUGGUCUGAGAGGAUGAUCAGCCACACUGGGACUGAGACACGGCCCAG
rnacentral:rRNA from 1 species